rnacentral:rRNA from 1 species
UACGAAGGGUGCAAGCGUUAAUCGGAAUUACUGGGCGUAAAGCGCGCGCAGGCGGUUCCUUAAGUCUGAUGUGAAAUCUCGCGGCUCAACCGCGAGCGGCCAUUGGAAACUGGGGAACUUGAGUGCAGGAGAGGGGAGCGGAAUUCCACGUGUAGCGGUGAAAUGCGUAGAGAUGUGGAGGAACACCAGUGGCGAAGGCGGCUCUCUGGCCUGUAACUGACGCUGAAGCGCGAAGGCGUGGGGAGCGAACAGGAUUAGAUACCC